AAGCCCAGCUUGCUGGGUGGAUUAGUGGCGAACGGGUGAGUAACACGUGAGCAACCUGCCCCUGACUCUGGGAUAAGCGCUGGAAACGGCGUCUAAUACUGGAUACGAACAAGAAUCGCAUGGUUACUUGUUGGAAAGAUUUUUUGGUUGGGGAUGGGCUCGCGGCCUAUCAGCUUGUUGGUGAGGUAAUGGCUCACCAAGGCGUCGACGGGUAGCCGGCCUGAGAGGGUGACCGGCCACACUGGGACUGAGACACGGCCCAGACUCCUACGGGAGGCAGCAGUGGGGAAUAUUGCACAAUGGGCGGAAGCCUGAUGCAGCAACGCCGCGUGAGGGAUGACGGCCUUCGGGUUGUAAACCUCUUUUAGCAGGGAAGAAGCGAGAGUGACGGUACCUGCAGAAAAAGCGCCGGCUAACUACGUGCCAGCAGCCGCGGUAAUACGUAGGGCGCAAGCGUUAUCCGGAAUUAUUGGGCGUAAAGAGCUCGUAGGCGGUUUGUCGCGUCUGCUGUGAAAUCCCGAGGCUCAACCUCGGGCCUGCAGUGGGUACGGGCAGACUAGAGUGCGGUAGGGGAGAUUGGAAUUCCUGGUGUAGCGGUGGAAUGCGCAGAUAUCAGGAGGAACACCGAUGGCGAAGGCAGAUCUCUGGGCCGUAACUGACGCUGAGGAGCGAAAGGGUGGGGAGCAAACAAGCUUAGAUACCCUGGGUAGUCCACCCCGUAAACGUUGGGAACUAGUUGU
rnacentral:rRNA from 1 species